CAAUAGCGUAUAUUUAAGUUGCUGCAGUUAAAAAGCUCGUAGUUGGAUUUCGGGUGGGAAUGGCCGGUCCGCCGUUUCGGUGUGCACUUGCUACGCCCACCUUGCUGCCGGGGACGUGCCCUUGAGUUCACGCUCGGGACACGGAGUCGGCGAGGUUACUUUGAGUAAAUUAGAGUGUUCAAAGCAGGCCUACGCUCUGAAUACAUUAGCAUGGAAUAACACGAUAGGACUCUGGCCUAUCUUGUUGGUCUGUAGGACCGGAGUAAUGAUUAAGAGGGACAGUCGGGGGCAUUCGUAUUUCAUUGUCAGAGGUGAAAUUCUUGGAUUUAUGAAAGACGAACUACUGCGAAAGCAUUUGCCAAGGAUGUUUUCAUUGA
rnacentral:rRNA from 1 species